GCUCUUUUAGUAUAGUCAGUACAGCUGACUUCCAAUCAGCCAGAUUCAGCCCCAUCUGAAAAAGAGCA
rnacentral:tRNA from 1 species